AUUGAACGCUGGCGGCAUGCCUUACACAUGCAAGUCGAACGGCAGCACGGGAGCAAUCCUGGUGGCGAGUGGCGAACGGGUGAGUAAAGUAUCGGAACGUGCCCAGUCGUGGGGGAUAACGUAGCGAAAGUUACGCUAAUACCGCAUACGAUCUAUGGAUGAAAGCGGGGGAUCGCAAGACCUAGCGCGAUUGGAGCGGCCGAUAUCAGAUUAGGUAGUUGGUGGGGUAAAGGCUCACCAAGCCGACGAUCUGUAGCUGGUCUGAGAGGACGACCAGCCCCACUGGGACUGAGACACGGCCCAGACGCCUACGGGAGGCAGCAGUGGGGAAUUUUGGACAAUGGGCGAAAGCCUGAUCCAGCCAUGCCGCGUGCAGGAUGAAGGCCUUCGGGUUGUAAACUGCUUUUGUACGGAACGAAAAGGUUUGGCCUAAUAAGCUGAGCUCAUGACGGUACCGUAAGAAUAAGCACCGGCUAACUACGUGCCAGCAGCCGCCGUAA
rnacentral:rRNA from 1 species